rnacentral:rRNA from 1 species
AUGAACGCUAGCGACAGGCUUAACACAUGCAAGUCGAGGGGCAGCACAGGUAGCAAUACCGGGUGGCGACCGGCGCACGGGUGAGUAACGCGUAUGCAACUUGCCUAUCAGAGGGGGAUAACCCGGCGAAAGUCGGACUAAUACCGCAUGAAGCAGGGAUCCCGCAUGGGAAUAUUUGCUAAAGAUUCAUCGCUGAUAGAUAGGCAUGCGUUCCAUUAGGCAGUUGGCGGGGUAACGGCCCACCAAACCGACGAUGGAUAGGGGUUCUGAGAGGAAGGUCCCCCACAUUGGUACUGAGACACGGACCAAACUCCUACGGGAGGCAGCAGUGAGGAAUAUUGGUCAAUGGCCGAGAGGCUGAACCAGCCAAGUCGCGUGAGGGAUGAAGGUUCUAUGGAUCGUAAACCUCUUUUAUAAGGGAAUAAAGUGCGGGACGUGUCCCGUUUUGUAUGUACCUUAUGAAUAAGGAUCGGCUAACUCCGUGCCAGCAGCCGCGGUAAUACGGAGGAUCCGAGCGUUAUCCGGAUUUAUUGGGUUUAAAGGGUGCGUAGGCGGCCUUUUAAGUCAGCGGUGAAAGUCUGUGGCUCAACCAUAGAAUUGCCGUUGAAACUGGGGGGCUUGAGUAUGUUUGAGGCAGGCGGAAUGCGUGGUGUAGCGGUGAAAUGCAUAGAUAUCACGCAGAACCCCGAUUGCGAAGGCAGCCUGCCAAGCCAUUACUGACGCUGAUGCACGAAAGCGUGGGGAUCAAACAGGAUUAGAUACCCUGGUAGUCCACGCAGUAAACGAUGAUCACUAGCUGUUUGCGAUACACUGUAAGCGGCACAGCGAAAGCGUUAAGUGAUCCACCUGGGGAGUACGCCGGCAACGGUGAAACUCAAAGGAAUUGACGGGGGCCCGCACAAGCGGAGGAACAUGUGGUUUAAUUCGAUGAUACGCGAGGAACCUUACCCGGGUUUGAACGCAUUCGGACCGAGGUGGAAACACCUUUUCUAGCAAUAGCCGUUUGCGAGGUGCUGCAUGGUUGUCGUCAGCUCGUGCCGUGAGGUGUCGGCUUAAGUGCCAUAACGAGCGCAACCCUUGCCACUAGUUACUAACAGGUAAAGCUGAGGACUCUGGUGGGACUGCCAGCGUAAGCUGCGAGGAAGGCGGGGAUGACGUCAAAUCAGCACGGCCCUUACAUCCGGGGCGACACACGUGUUACAAUGGCGUGGACAAAGGGAGGCCACCUGGCGACAGGGAGCGAAUCCCCAAACCACGUCUCAGUUCGGAUCGGAGUCUGCAACCCGACUCCGUGAAGCUGGAUUCGCUAGUAAUCGCGCAUCAGCCAUGGCGCGGUGAAUACGUUCCCGGGCCUUGUACACACCGCCCGUCAAGCCAUGGGAGCCGGGGGUACCUGAAGUCCGUAACCGAAAGGAUCGGCCUAGGGUAAAACUGGUGACUGGGGCU